GUUCAAUAUCCCUCUUAUCAGAUGCACCUAGGACCAAACAUUCUACUUCUUCGGAGGAUUGGCUUCCAUGUCCAAUAUCCUCGGUAGCAUGCUCUAUCUUAGAUAUCAGCUUUGGUUCCUUGAAGAUAUGUUCAUCUGUCAGGUCUUUGCCUUCCAGUUCUUCAUUCAGGUUCUUGUCUUCUACAUCUUCCUCAUUGAGGUUCUUGUAUUCCAGAUCUUCAAUUGAGCCCUGUGACUCUGUUUCAAGAACAGAACUUACUUUGGAAUCACUGAGAUCGCUGGGGUGCCUUUGUAAUGGUGAAUAACUUGUUCCUUCAGCAGCCAUCACAUCAGGAACAAAGUAAGGUCUAAAACGGGUAUCUUUCUUGUUCAGCCCAAAGAUUGAGGGCCCAACAUUAAAACUUUCAUGCCUCCUAAAAAAUGUCUCUUUUGGUUGAGAUGUGAUAAUCUCUUGAUCGAAAGUGUCUCCUGUAAGAUCAGGUUUUUCCUCACUUGGGUCAUAAGGAAGAUCAAAUGGGUUCCGCUUACACCUUGGCAACAAAAUAGAUGGAGCUGAUCCAGG
rnacentral:misc_RNA from 1 species